rnacentral:rRNA from 1 species
GACGAACGCUGGCGGCGUGCCUAAUACAUGCAAGUCGAACGCACGAAGUUGAAGAGCUUGCUCUUUAACCAAGUGAGUGGCGGACGGGUGAGUAACACGUGGGUAACCUGCCCAUUAGAGGGGGAUAACAUUCGGAAACGGACGCUAAUACCGCAUAGUUUCAGGGAUCGCAUGAUUCUUGAAGGAAAGGUGGCUUCGGCUACCACUAAUGGAUGGACCCGCGGCGUAUUAGCUAGUUGGUGAGGUAAUGGCUCACCAAGGCAAUGAUACGUAGCCGACCUGAGAGGGUGAUCGGCCACACUGGGACUGAGACACGGCCCAGACUCCUACGGGAGGCAGCAGUAGGGAAUCUUCCGCAAUGGACGAAAGUCUGACGGAGCAACGCCGCGUGAGUGAAGAAGGUUUUCGGAUCGUAAAACUCUGUUGUUAAAGAAGAACAAGGAUGAGAGUAACUGCUCAUCCCCUGACGGUAUUUAACCAGAAAGCCACGGCUAACUACGUGCCAGCAGCCGCGGUAAUACGUAGGUGGCAAGCGUUGUCCGGAUUUAUUGGGCGUAAAGCGAGCGCAGGCGGUUCUUUAAGUCUGAUGUGAAAGCCCCCGGCUCAACCGGGGAGGGUCAUUGGAAACUGGAGAACUUGAGUGCAGAAGAGGAGAGUGGAAUUCCACGUGUAGCGGUGAAAUGCGUAGAUAUGUGGAGGAACACCAGUGGCGAAGGCGACUCUCUGGUCUGUAACUGACGCUGAGGCUCGAAAGCGUGGGGAGCAAACAGG